AGUUCAAUUGCUAGGUCAUAUGGUACUUACAUAUUUGCUUUUUAAGAAACUGCCAAACUGUUUUUCAGAGUAGUUGUACCAUUUUGUGUUCCUAUCAGUAAU
rnacentral:pre_miRNA from 1 species